rnacentral:rRNA from 1 species
AGUGAACGCUGGCGGUAGGCCUAACACAUGCAAGUCGAACGGCAGCACAGUAAGAGCUUGCUCUUACGGGUGGCGAGUGGCGGACGGGUGAGGAAUACAUCGGAAUCUACUUUUUCGUGGGGGCUAACGUAGGGAAACUUACGCUAAUACCGCAUUCGACCUACGGGUGAAAGCAGGGGAUCUUCGGACCUUGCGCGAUUGAAUGAGCCGAUGUCGGAUUAGCUAGUUGGCGGGGUAAAGGCCCACCAAGGCGACGAUCCGUAGCUGGUCUGAGAGGAUGAUCACACACCCUGGAACUGAGACACGGUACAGACUCCGACGGGAGGCAGCAGUGGGGAAUAUUGCAGAAAGGGCGCAAGCCUGAUCCAGCCAUACCGCGUGGGGCAAGAAGGACUUCGGGUUGGAAAGCGCUGUUGUUGGGAAAGAAAAAAAGCAGGUUAAUACCCCGCUGUAAUGACGGUACCCAAAGAAUAAGCACCGGCUAACUUCGUG